rnacentral:rRNA from 1 species
AUGAACGCUAGCGGGAGGCCUAACACAUGCAAGCCGAGCGGUAUUUGUUCUUCGGAACAGAGAGAGCGGCGCACGGGUGCGGAACACGUGUGCAACCUGCCUUUAUCUGGGGGAUAGCCUUUCGAAAGGAAGAUUAAUACCCCAUAAUAUAUUGAGUGGCAUCAUUUGAUAUUGAAAACUCCGGUGGAUAGAGAUGGGCACGCGCAAGAUUAGAUAGUUGGUGAGGUAACGGCUCACCAAGUCAAUGAUCUUUAGGGGGCCUGAGAGGGUGAUCCCCCACACUGGUACUGAGACACGGACCAGACUCCUACGGGAGGCAGCAGUGAGGAAUAUUGAACAAUGGGUUAGCGCCUGAUCCAGCCAUCCCGCGUGAAGGACGACGGCCCUAUGGGUUGUAAACUUCUUUUGUAUAGGGAUAAACCUACUCUCGUGAGAGUAGCUGAAGGUACUAUACGAAUAAGCACCGGCUAACUCCGUG